rnacentral:lncRNA from 1 species
CCUGGUCCAAGGUUUGCCUGUCGAUUUAGAUACUGUUCUAGCACUCUCUUAUUUAUGGCUUACAACAACUUUGUCUAUCUACGGCAGCUACUCUGCUUUCAUAUGUUUGGCUAUAUUACACACUUUGUUGUUCUAGAUUUGGAAUCUUUUUGGAAUUGACGCUCUAGACCAACGGGAUGGACCGAGCAACAUGCGCCAAGGCGAGACCCGUCUCUCCUCUUAAGUUGAUUGGUUUCUCUCUAUGUGCUCCUUUUUCGAUGGUCUCAUUUGGCAUUUCUCCUUCAUGAUUAUGUUUGGGUUGUCAGAUGCUUUAUCUCGAUAUCAUGGUGAGAUUCCUUCCUUUCUCCAUGUGAAUUUUCCAAAAAGCUUAUCUACUUAAGGAACUAUUUUUGCCCAUUGAUGUUGCAUCGACCAAUGCUUAGUACCUAAUAGAACUAAAAGU